CCAUCACAACUUCACAUAGAGCUCUUGACUCUUGGACCUCCAACACCAGCUUCAUUCAUCCUGUCAGGGNAACCGUGGAGCUCUUGACUCUGGAACUCCCAUCACCAGCUUCAUUCAUUCAUCCUGUCAUAACAAUCAUAGUAAAGGAGCCCAAAAGGUAAAUGAUUAAACUUUUACAAUCUGUUAAAAUGCCUUUGUACUCUCUGGCUUAGUACGCUUAUGUAUGGUGGUUGUUAAAUGUUCCGAGAUGGUUGUCAUUGAAUAUUCUGGGCGUGCGUUGUAUGCAUACCUUGGUCAUCUUCCCC
rnacentral:lncRNA from 1 species